CCUAUUCGGGUAUGAGCCCAACAAGUGUGCAAAGUUUCAUCAUUGUACUCCUAAAACUCUGGGAGGAGUAGCGUUUAGAAAAUUGCUAAAAUUUCAUUGGCUCUUGGUAGCUAUUAUUUUGGAUAUUAUUAUUUGGAUAAUAAUAGAGUCUAUAAGAGAUGGCCUUUCCGUAAUUCAAAGCUUUCUGGAUAGCGGCUUUCCAGAUAAUGGAUCCCAUACCUGUACUAUUCUUUCCAAUAUCUGUUCAGCAUGACACCUAAUUCCUUUAUGGCAGCUCAUCAUGACCUAGUUCACAAUUGUCCAUAAUCAUUCAUACAAUGUCAUUGUUGCACAUUAGUUAUGUCACAAUAGGAAAGCUGCAUUUGUUUGUACUUUCUCUUAGGUGUGUUUAUAGCAUAUUGUUUCAUUGUGAGUGAGACAGGCUUUUACAAGAUAGACAAUUAGGUUCUACAGACACUUGGAAAAGAGAUUUGAUCAAUGUACCUUCACUGGAGGGUCCAUAGUGCCUGGAUUUCCUUUGAAUUUCAAUCUUUCUUUACCUCAGAAUUCAAGGUCUGACACAAUGCAGAUCUCUUUGUCAGUUAAACUGACGCUCUGCAGCUCACUUUGCCAGGCUCUGUUUGGGAGAGCCUGGUAAAAGUUCAGCUUCUGCAGAAUCUGUAUGCAACAAUUCUACCAACCCCUAUUGGGUCAUUUCUGCCCCACCUGCCCCUCCAAUACAAUAAGAUUGCCCUAUUUUUCAUUUUGUUCUUACCUCUUAGUGAAGAAAACACCUUCAGUUAUUCUGAGCCAGCCCAACUGUCAAAGGGUCCCUAACAUCCUAGAAGCUGACUGAAGCCAGUUCAUUCCAGUCAACAGGAAAGGGUCGGACUGUGAAGCUGCAGCUGCUGAUGGAAGUGAUACCCCAGGAGAUUCCCAGAGAGUCUGUUACCCUUGUCUCUUUAAAUGACUACAAUCCCUGCCAUAAAGCAAGGCAGGACUGCUGCUCUUUUGCCAGACAGGAAGUAGAGACAGUCACAUGAUGAUCCCCUCAAUCCUAUUUUACACAAUAUUUCCCAUCAGUUUGCGCAGAGCUGUACUCACUUAGCAUUGUAUUAAAGGGGCAUUCGAUUACGGAUCUUCAGAAGAA